UACGGAGGAUGCGAGCGUUAUCCGGAUUUAUUGGGUUUAAAGGGUGCGUAGGCUGGUAAUUAAGUCAGUGGUGAAAUACUCCGGCUCAACCGGGGAGCUGCCGUUGAUACUGGUUACCUUGAGUUUAGAUGAUGUGGGCAGAAUGUGUCAUGUAGCGGUGAAAUGCAUAGAGAUGACACAGAACACCGAUAGCGAAGGCAGCUCACAAAGCUAUUACUGACGCUGAUGCACGAAAGCGAGGGGACCUAAACA
rnacentral:rRNA from 1 species